rnacentral:rRNA from 1 species
AUUGAACGCUGGCGGCAUGCCUUACACAUGCAAGUCGAACGGUAACAGGUCUUCGGAUGCUGACGAGUGGCGAACGGGUGAGUAAUACAUCGGAACGUGCCUAGUAGUGGGGGAUAACUACUCGAAAGAGUGGCUAAUACCGCAUGAGAUCUACGGAUGAAAGCAGGGGCUCGCAAGACCUUGUGCUACUAGAGCGGACGCUGGCAGAUUAGGUGGUUGGUGGGAUAAAAUCUGACCAAGUCGACGAUCUGUAGCUGGUCUGAGAGGACGAUCAGCCAAGCUGGGGCUGAGCCACGGCCCAUACUCCUACGGGAGGCAGCAGUGGGGAAUUUUGGACAAUGGGCGAAAGCCUGAUCCAGCAAUGCCGCGUGCAGGAUGAAGGCCUUCGGGUUGUAAACUGCUUUUGUACGGAACGAAAAGCCCCGGGUUAAUACCCUGGGGUCAUGACGGUACCGUAAGAAUAAGCACCGGCUAACUACGUGCCAGCCGCCGCGGUAA